UUAAAUGAAGUUGACGGGGGAGCACCACAACGGGUGGAGCUUGCGGUUUAAUUGGAUUCAAGCCGGAAAUCUUACCGGGACCGACAGCAAUAUGAAGGCCAGGCUGAAGACUUUGCCGGAUUAGCUGAGAGGUGGUGCAUGGCCGUCGUCAGUUCGUACUGUGAAGCAUCCUGUUAAGUCAGGCAACGAGCGAGACCCACGCCCACAGUUGCCAGCGUACUCUCUGGAGUGACGGGUACACUGUGGGGACCGCCGCUGCUAAAGCGGAGGAAGGAAUGGGCAACGGUAGGUCAGUAUGCCCCGAAUAUCCCGGGCUACAUGCGAGCUACAAUGGUUGGUACAAUGGGUAUCUACCCCGAAAGGGGACGGGAAUCUCCUAAAACCAAUCUUAGUUCGGAUUGAGGGCUGCAACUCGCCCUCAUGAAGCUGGAAUCCGUAGUAAUCGCGUUUCAACAGAACGCGGUGAAUACGUCCCUGCUCCUU
rnacentral:rRNA from 1 species